UACGUAGGGAGCGAGCGUUAUCCGGAAUUAUUGGGUGUAAAGGGUGCGUAGACGGGAAGACAAGUUGGUUGUGAAAUCCCUCGGCUUAACUGAGGAACUGCAACCAAAACUAUCAUUCUUGAGUACUGGAGAGGAAAGUGGAAUUCCUAGUGUAGCGGUGAAAUGCGUAGAUAUUAGGAGGAACACCAGUGGCGAAGGCGACUUUCUGGACAGAAACUGACGUUGAGGCACGAAAGUGUGGGGGGCAAACAGG
rnacentral:rRNA from 1 species